CACGUAGGGCGCAAGCGUUGUCCGGAAUUAUUGGGCGUAAAGAGCUCGUAGGUGGUUUGUUACGUCUGCUGUGAAAACCUAGGGCUUAACCCUGGGCUUGCAGUGGAUACGGGCAGACUAGAGGUAGGUAGGGGAGAAUGGAAUUCCUGGUGUAGCGGUGAAAUGCGCAGAUAUCAGGAGGAACACCGGUGGCGAAGGCGGUUCUCUGGGCCUUAACUGACACUGAGGAGCGAAAGCGUGGGGAGCGAACAGG
rnacentral:rRNA from 1 species